UUGACAUACGCUGGAAUGGACGGGAAUCGUUCAGCCCUUCGGGUCGGCGUACAGGUGCUGCAUGGCUGUCGUCAGCUCGUGCUGUGAAGUGUUGGGUUAAGUCCCGCAACGAGCGCAACCCCUGCUAUCUGUUGCCAGCAAGUAAUGUUGGGGACUCAGAUGGAACUGCCGGUGACAAACCGGAGGAAGUGGGGACGACGUCAAGUCAUCAUGGCCCUUAUGUCCUGGGCUACACACGUGCUACAAUGGCCGGUACAGAGCGCAGCGAAGCCGCGAGGCAAAGCGAAUCGCAAAAGCCGGUCUCAGUACGGAUUGGAGUCUGAAACCCGACUCCAUGAAGUUGGAAUCGCUAGUAAUCGCGCAUCAGCAUGGCGCGGUGAAUACGUUCCCGGGCCUU
rnacentral:rRNA from 1 species